UAUUGCUUAAAUGAUGGUUUUGCUAUUUGUAAUUUACCUUACAACCUAAAAGAAAAAAUAAAAACAAAACACUGCUUGUAAACCUGUUGAUUUCGUCCUUGUCAUCUGAUGCAUAUUGUUUUGCUCUCUUUUGCAGGAGUUGUUGCAACCCAACCCUUUUCCAAGGGUGACAUCGUGUGUGAUGACCGUGGGAAGGUAAUCACAGCGGCCCAGGGAAAAGUCAUGAUGCAGAAUCUACAGGAUGAAGCACCAGAGUACCUGUUUUUCUU
ensembl:lncRNA